ACUAGCAGUAAGAAGUUUGAUCAUGGCGUCAGAACGAACGGCUGGCGGCAUGCCUAACACAUGCAAGUCGAACGAGACCUUCGGGUCGUAGUGGCGGCACGGGUGCGUAACGCGUGGGAAGUCUGCCCUUGGUUCGGGAGUAACAGUUGGAAACGACUAGCUAAUACCGGAUGAUGACUUCGGUCCAAAGAUUUAUCGCCCACGGGAUGAGCCCGCGUAGGGAUUAGCUUGUUGGUGAGGUAAAAGACUCACCAAGGCGACGAUCCUUAGCUGGUCUGAGAGGAUGAUCAGCCACACUGGGACUGAGACACGGCCCAGACUCCUACGGGAGGCAGCAGUGGGGAAUAUUGGACAAUGGGCGAAAGCCUGAUCCAGCAAUGCCGCGUGAGUGAUGAAGGCCUUAGGGUUGUAAAGCUCUUUUACCCGGGAAGAUAAUGACUGUACCGGGAGAAUAAGCCCCGGCUAACUCCGUGCCAGCCGCCGCGGUAAUUC
rnacentral:rRNA from 1 species